rnacentral:rRNA from 1 species
AUUGAACGCUGGCGGCAUGCUUUACACAUGCAAGUCGAACGGCAGCACGGGGGCAACCCUGGUGGCGAGUGGCGAACGGGUGAGUAAUACAUAGGAACGUAUCCUGAAAUGGGGGAUAGCUCGGCGAAAGCCGGAUUAAUACCGCAUACGAUCCACGGAUGAAAGCAGGGGAUUCGCAAGAACCUUGCGUUUCUGGAGCGGCCUAUGUCUGAUUAGCUAGUUGGCGGGGUAAAAGACCCACCAAGGCGACGAUCAGUAGCUGGUCUGAGAGGAUGAUCAGCCACACUGGGACUGAGACACGGCCCAGACUCCUACGGGAGGCAGCAGU